UACGUAGGGUGCAAGCGUUGUCCGGAAUUAUUGGGCGUAAAGGGCUCGUAGGCGGUCCAUCACGUCGGGAGUGAAAAGCUGGGGCUUAACCCCAGUCCUGCUUCCGAUACGGGUGGACUAGAGGUAGGUAGGGGAGAACGGAAUUCCUGGUGUAGCGGUGAAAUGCGCAGAUAUCAGGAGGAACACCGGUGGCGAAGGCGGGUCUCUGGACCGAUACUGACGCUGAGGAGCGAAAGCGUGGGGAGCGAACAGG
rnacentral:rRNA from 1 species